UACGAAGGGGGCUAGCGUUACUCGGAUUGACUGGGCGUAAAGGGCGCGUAGGCGGAUGGUACAGUCAGACGUGAAAUUCCUGGGCUCAACCUGGGGGCUGCGUUUGAUACGUGCUGUCUGGAGUUCGGAAGAGGGUCGUGGAAUUCCCAGUGUAGAGGUGAAAUUCGUAGAUAUUGGGAAGAACACCGGUGGCGAAGGCGGCGACCUGGUCCUUUUACUGACGCUGAGGCGCGAAAGCGUGGGGAGCAAACAGG
rnacentral:rRNA from 1 species